rnacentral:rRNA from 1 species
CCUACGGGGGGCUGCAGUAGGGAAUAUUGCUCAAUGGGGGAAACCCUGAAGCAGCAACGCCGCGUGGAGGAUGAAGGUUUUAGGAUUGUAAACUCCUUUUGUUAGAGAAGAUUAUGACGGUAUCUAACGAAUAAGCACCGGCUAACUCCGUGUCAGCAGCCGCGGUAAUACGGAGGGUGCAAGCGUUACUCGGAAUCACUGGGCGUAAAGAGUGCGUAGGCGGGGUAAUAAGUCAGAUGUGAAAUCCUGUAGCUUAACUACAGAACUGCAUUUGAAACUGUUACUCUGGAGUGUGGGAGAGGUAGGUGGAAUUCUUGGUGUAGGGGUAAAAUGCGUAGAGAUCAAGAGGAAUACUCAUUGCGAAGGCGACCUGCUGGAACAUUACUGACGCUGAUGCACGAAAGCGUGGGGAGCAAACAGGAUUAGAUACCCCAGUAGUC